AUUGAACGCUGGCGGCAUGCUUUACACAUGCAAGUCGAACGGUAACAGGCCUUCGGGCGCUGACGAGUGGCGAACGGGUGAGUAAUGCAUCGGAACGUGCCCAGUCGUGGGGGAUAACUAUCCGAAAGGAUAGCUAAUACCGCAUACGAUCUGCGGAUGAAAGCGGGGGACCUUCGGGCCUCGCGCGAUUGGAGCGGCCGAUGUCAGAUUAGGUAGUUGGUGGGGUAAAGGCUCACCAAGCCAACGAUCUGUAGCUGGUCUGAGAGGACGACCAGCCACACUGGGACUGAGACACGGCCCAGACUCCUACGGGAGGCAGCAGUGGGGAAUUUUGGACAAUGGGCGCAAGCCUGAUCCAGCAAUGCCGCGUGCAGGAAGAAGGCCUUCGGGUUGUAAACUGCUUUUGUACGGAACGAAACGGCUCUGGUUAAUACCCGGGGCUAAUGACGGUACCGUAAGAAUAAGCACCGGCUAACUACGUGCCAGCAGCCGCCGCGGUAA
rnacentral:rRNA from 1 species